rnacentral:rRNA from 1 species
UACGAAGGGGGCUAGCGUUGCUCGGAAUGACUGGGCGUAAAGGGCGCGUAGGCGGCGCAUUUAGUCAGGCGUGAAAUUCCUGGGCUCAACCUGGGGACUGCGCUUGAUACGGGUGUGCUUGAGGAUGGAAGAGGCUCGCGGAAUUCCCAGUGUAGAGGUGAAAUUCGUAGAUAUUGGGAAGAACACCGGUGGCGAAGGCGGCGAGCUGGUCCAUUACUGACGCUGAGGCGCGACAGCGUGGGGGAGCAAACAGG